rfam:Myotis davidii contig93666, whole genome shotgun sequence.
AUGCCUUAAACUUAUGACUAAGGAAAAUAAUGAUUCAGGGUGAUGCCAAAAUACUCACUGUUAAUGUGAGACGAAUUUUUAAGCAGGUAAAGGUUGCCCCUAGGGUGACCCACCUACUUUGCAGGAAAAAAAGAAAAUUAAUAUUCUUG